UGCCUUCGCCAUCGGUGUUCCUCCGCAUAUCUACGCAUUUCACUGCUACACGCGGAAUUCCAUCCCCCUCUGCCGCACUCUAGCCUUGCAGUCACAAUGGCAGUUCCCAGGUUGAGCCCGGGGAUUUCACCACUGUCUUACAAAACCGCCUGCGCACGCUUUACGCCCAGUAAUUCCGAUUAACGCUUGCACCCUACGUAUUACCGCGGCUGCUGGCACGUAGUUAGCCGGUGCUUAUUCUUACGGUACCGUCAUGACCCGGGGAUAUUAGCCCCAGGCUUUUCGUUCCGUACAAAAGCAGUUUACAACCCGAGGGCCUUCAUCCUGCACGCGGCAUUGCUGGAUCAGGCUUUCGCCCAUUGUCCAAAAUUCCCCACUGCUGCCUCCCGUAGGAGUCUGGGCCGUGUCUCAGUCCCAGUGUGGCUGGUCGUCCUCUCAGACCAGCUACAGAUCGCAGGCUUGGUAAGCCUUUACCCCACCAACUACCUAAUCUGCCAUCAGCCGCUCUAGUAGCACAAGGCCCGAAGGUCCCCUGCUUUCAUCCGUAGAUCUCAUGCGGUAUUAGCUACUCUUUCGAGUAGUUAUCCCCCACUACUAGGCACGUUCCGAUGUAUUACUCACCCGUUCGCCACUCGUCAGCAUCCGAAGACCUGUUACCGUUCGACUUGCAUGUGUAAAGCAUGCCGCCAGCGUUCAAU
rnacentral:rRNA from 1 species